AGUUCCUUGUCUGCUGUGAGGAUAAGGAAGAGUCAGUGCCUGGAGGAGCUGCCUACAAGAAACAUCAAGGAAAUUGCAGAUAAUACAUCAUAAGAAGAAAAUCUAACAAAGGAGGUCAUGAUAUGUAGGAUUAUGAAGAGAAUGAGGAAAGCACAGGUAAAGGGACAGAGAGCAGAGCCAGCCUUGGUAAGGAGACUGAACCAGAGAGGAGAUGCCAUGUCAGCAGUGCAUGGAGGACUUCUGAGCUGCCUUUAUUCCUUCAGAGCCAAACAAGGGGGUGAUGAAUGGAGAUAUUGUGGCAUGGGAACAGAGCCUGGGAUCUGCCUGAUGUUAGGCAGAAAUGAGAAUCCAGUGUUCUUUUGGAAGUACCACCCUUGCUAAUCCCACAGGAUUAACAGAGCCAUCUCUGGGGGAAGGGGCUGCUCCACUCAGCCUCAGACUGGGGCUUUGGAAUGCAGAACUUCACACAUAAAAUAAUCCUAUAAACCAGGAUGAAUUCAAUGAUUAUGAACUUAGGAAAAGUCCAUUUUGAAGAGCACGUCAUAGGAGUAUAAUCAACCCACCUCAUUCUUAUCUGCAACAGAUCUUGGGUUAAUAGAAGUAGGCUGAGUGUCUGGCUCAUGCUACUACUUGUAUUGCAAUUUUCACUCCAAAUAAUUGCAAAUUACUUUACAAAUUAUCUACACAGCCUGCCUGACCACUUUAAAGCAACUGCUGAUAGGGACAAGCUCAACCAACAUCAAGAGCUGUCAGGGGAUAUGCAGCUGGUGGAAAGCUGUGUCUGGAGUGACCAAGGUUCAGUUUGCUAAUCUAAAGAGUGACUAUCACUGCCUGCUGUGAUCCACUAAACAAUGCAGAGGUGACGAGAGAAAAUGAUGAUAGAAAAUUUCAAAGUUCCUUCUGUAUAAACAGGAGACAUCUCUACCCCAAAGUUGCUACAAGGUGCAGUACUUGGUUUCCAAGGUUUCAUCUCAAAAGGAAACCUGUUGAGUAAAUUGUGAGAUUCAUUCUCUGUAUUCCAGAAUAGUGAAAGGCUCAGGGCAUCUCACAGGACUGAAAGCAUUUGGGUAUUUUAAAUGUGAUGCUUAAGAGACUAAACCACCCCCUCUGGGAACUGAGUUAAUGUUUCAAUUCCAAUUCACUUAAAAGCAUCUUACUGGUGAGACAAGGUAGAGGCAGGUUGCCAGAGCCUGAGGUAGGUAUUCCAAGUGCUUGUCAGGGGUGGGUAAUGCAGCACACUGCUGGUUUUUCAUGUUUCAUCACCACAAGGAAGCACUCUGUUCCCAACCUGCUCCUGGAGCCACGGGAGAAGCUGUUCCCCAGCCCUCGGUGUGUGAUGGAUGCUCUCGGGAGGCUGCAGUGAGAUACAGCACCCCUGAGGCUGAGAAAACUGCCAGGUAAAGCUGAGGAGUUCAGGAAACAGGAUAUCCAUCCAUUCUAUGGAAUGGACCACAAAGGAGAAACUGCCUUGCAUUAAAUCAGCUGCUGGUUUUCUGAAGAGGAAGAAGCAGCAGAGGGACUGAAGUACUGCUGUAAUAGUGGAGAUUUCUUUGAAAUCCAUCUGUUGCUGCUCAGGGGAAAAUCCAGAGUGCUGCAUUCUGCAAGAGCAAAUCAAGUUGUUUUCUGAGAGAGGGGGUGAAAGGGAUGCCUGGAUUUCAAAGUUUUUUCCUACUGAGCAAAACCUGUGAUGGUUCUUGUGUCUCACCUACUCCUGCUGGCCAAAGGGAGUUUGUUCCUCCAGGUGACCAAUGCAGGACUGGAACUCAGAUAUUGCUUUGCAAUGCCUGCAGAGACCACCACAUUUUCUGAAACUCCCCAUUUACAACUCCCUAGUUAAAAUUAGCUAUAUGCUAAUUCGUCCUUUAAAAAUUAGCAGCUCCGUGCAAAUUGAAAACAGAUGUCUGUGUCUCCAGUCAGUGCUAGUUAGUUGAGGCACUCCUUCCUCACACAACCUGCUGCUCCAUGUCCCCAGAGCCACAGCCCCAGUGCCUCACACACAACUCUGGAGCUUGCCAGUGAUCAUUUCUGGCAUUUUAUUAUUGUUUUCUUUAGUGAGGUGCCAGACUCUGGGGAUUUGAAAUGCUGGGUCUGAAGCCAAUCCUCUGGGCUUUUUGAAAUUUGCUUGUAAGCAGUGUAAACCUCAGGCCACUGCUGUGGCCAGGUGACAGAUUCUGCCUCUUGGCUGGGAGCAGCUCUCAGUGGAUGUGUUGCUGGGACAGAGCGUGCAUGUAAAUGGAGCUGCUGGCAGUGAGGAUGAGCACUGACACUGCCUGAAAAUGCUUGAUGCUGUGGGGUCAGUGAUGCAGGCAGAACCAACUUUUCCUGAGUUAUUUCAUCACUGAAAGUCCACACUUUCAGCCUGCACACUUUUAAUUCUUUAUUAAAGUGCUGCACUGGUUUUAAGUGAGACAUUUGAAAUGGCUUUACAAAGGUCCUUGCUGAGCAGUACCUGCAGUGCUGCUUCAUUACUGCCCAUAACACCCCAGUGAAUCUCAGUACCUGCAGAAAAAUGACAACAAUUCUCCUUUGCAGAGUGUCUGCUGCGAGGGGGGAAAAGCGAGCUUAGUGGAAAUAUAAAUAAUAGAUUCUAAUAGUCACAGCUGUUCAUAAAUAAGAAGAUCUAUACAAACACAGUCUAGUGGAACAGGCACAUUUCUCUCCAAGACUGACUUGCUGCAUGAUUUUGAAGGAAACACUUUGUCACUUUUUGGCUCAGCUUCCAAAUAUGAAAUAUACACUGAUAGGAUUCUUACCACCCAAUGUAAAUAAAAUGCUUUGAGAACAUGAAUACAAAUGGAUGUAUAAAUGCUAAUAUAUUAUUUUCUAGCUAAAUCCAUAUUCUGCAAAUGCAAACAGAGAACGAAGAUGGAUUUUUGUUUUUUGUACAUCUGUGCCACUAGUGGAAGUUUUGCAAGCCAGAUUAGGUCCUUGGGGACAUAAGUGCAUUCCUACUGCUCACAGUGUGUUUGUACAGUUGCAAAGUGGCUUAAGCUACUAAGCAAUUCAGCUCAUGGGUGUACAAAAAAUAACAGCCAUCAUCCUGCCCUGUUAGAUGCAUGGCUUCUCCAGAGCUAAGCAAAGGGAAAAUUGCACCCAAAAUAUGAGAAAUCAGGAGAUAAAUGAUUCAUAAAACACAGAAGGAGUUUACAGCCUUGCAGGGAUGGGGAGAGACCAG